AAUCACAUUCCUAUUCUAAAUAGGACUGCAACAAUGUAAGUAUUAUAUCAUCUCGACCAGAUAAUAAUUGUAUCUUCUCUCUCUCCCCCCCUUUUUAUUUUAAGAUAUUUUUUAUUGAUAGAUAUCUUUAUUGAUCAGUAAUAAUAAUGCCCUUAUUUUUAUUUGGUAUAUACAAUAAUUUUGAAUUUCGUUAUUAAUUUCUAAUUUUUUUUUAAUUUAAUAAAACUUACUCAUCCCUAUUUUCAUUUUAAAAUUGGAUUUGAAAUGAAAGGGCAUACAAAAGUAUGGUUGGUUUCUUCAGGAAAAGGAUUCUUGUCGGAUCUUUUUCCUAAGGAUUCUAAAGAUCUCGUGAUCAUGAUCGUUCAUUGUAUAUUGUUUGGUCAGGAAUCAUUUUAAAAAGUUAAAAUUUAAAAUUAAAUAUAAAUAAUACAUAACAAAAACUAAUCGUAUGAUAUACAAUGAAUGAUCAUAAUCGCGGGAUUCCUAGGAUCCCUAGAAAAAAGAUUCGACAAGGAUCCUUUUCUGUUUCUCCACUCACAAAAGAUAAAGCUUAGACCUAAAAUAAGAAAAUAAUGUAUUGCCUCUAUGACAAAACAUGAAGCGGACAGGGACGGACGGAACAUGGACAAGGAUUGUCUGCCCUCCUUGUUCUCGUACCCUUCUGUUUUGUGUGGUCACGCUUAAGCCACGUCAACAUGGACAAAAAUGAAUAGUAAUAUAAAAUGUUGACGUGGCUUAACCGUAACCACACAAACAAGAGGACAUGGGAGGGCACGGGAACAAGGAGGGUAGACAAUCCUUGUCCACGAAACAUAGUCCAAAAAGUAGCCAUCAUAUCCAGACAAGGAUUGUCUGCCCUC
rnacentral:lncRNA from 1 species